rnacentral:rRNA from 1 species
GGAGGAAAGUAGGGGAUCGUAAGACCUUGUGCUUUUGGAGCGGCCGAUGCCUGAUUAGCUAGUUGGUAAGGUAAAGGCUUACCAAGGCUUCGACCAGUAGUUGGUCUGAGAGGACGACCAGCCACACUGGGACUGAGACACGGCCCAGACUCCUACGGGAGGCAGCAGUGGGGAAUUUUGGACAAUGGGGGAAACCCUGUUCCAGCCAUGCCGCGUGAGUGAAGAAGGCCUUCGGGUUGUAAAGCUCUUUCAGUUGAGAAGAAAAGAUUACGACUAAUAAUCGUGAUUCAUGACGGUAUCAACAGAAGAAGCACCGGCUAGCUACGUGCCAGCAGCCGCGGUAAUACGUAGGGUGCGAGCGUUAAUCGGAAUUACUGGGCGUAAAGGGUGCGCAGGCGGUUCUGUAAGUCAGAUGUGAAAUCCCCGGGCUUAACCUGGGAACUGCGUUUGAAACUACAAAGCUAGA